rnacentral:pre_miRNA from 1 species
GAAGUUCCUACAGGAUCGACCUCAGAACACAUGAAGUGCGCAGCGCAGCUUCUUUUUUCAUGUGUUCUCAGGUCGCCCCUGCAGGGUCUUC